GCCGCAUCAGCUGCGGAGCGCAGCGGACCACAGCGGACUCACUCACGUUCGCAUACAGACAGCUGCGCACGUUCGUCGCCCGCGGCUGAUUUGACGCAGUACCGUAGCAUCCGCGAUCUUCUCGAUUUCGGAAAUUCUCAAAUGAUGCCGAGUACGACCCUGCAGAUUAGUCGCGAUGCUGUGACGUCGACUGGUGCGAGAAGGACAGCUGCUGUCAAAGACUGCGAGGCUGAAUCGCGGAGGAGAGCGUGGGAGAGAUAUAGACAACACACACCGUGAACGGCAUAAAGAAACACGCGUGUUACCCGACCGUGUAGACUCGUAGAAUUCUCUACUGCGCAGUCGUCCCGAAAGGUGCAGCGAUCGGCAUAUUUGUGCUAUGCUUGUGGAGUUAUAAUCAAGAAUUUAUAAACCAUUCGUUGGUCUCCGAAAAUAUUCAACACAAAACUUCGCGCGCAUGUCAUCCACAAAUUAUGACAUGCGUCUAUUCCGUCCAGAGUAGAGAAAUCGAAAUAUAUUUUACACGAGCACUGUAAAAUCGCAC